GUUCUUUGGCUCUUGUGUGAGUGGAUGGUGACACCAGGCCAGCUGGGGAUUCUUCCCAGGCUGGGCUCACAGGCUGGGGCUGGGCACACGGAGCAGCUGCGGGAAAAGGAUCUGGACACCAGCCCCCCAGCGUGUCACCGGCAGGAAGGUGAGGUGGGAACAGAGUGACGUCCAUGCAUGUUCAGAGACAAGGUUUCCCUACGUUGCCCAGACUGGUCUUGAACUCCUAGCCUCAAGCAGUCCUUCUGCCUCAGCCUCCCAAUGUGCUGGGAUUACAGGCAUGAGCCACUGCACUUGACCAAGGGACUAAGCCAGUGGAUCACAAACAUCCUGGAGAGCAGUGACUCUGUGAUUCCAUCACAAGAAUAUGAAGGACUGAGAAGAUCUCCAGCUCUGCCCAUUGCACCUUCCCAUUGAGAAGCAGCAUGGCACCCUGGUGGCAGGGGCUGAUACUCAGCCGGGCCAGGGUGCUCUCCUGUUAACCAUAACCAAGCUCACAGGACAUGGGAUGAGCCCACUGUGUGACACAGGGAGCGGGACACAGUCUGUUAAGUCUUGCACAGCCAUGCUCUGCCACGCAGGCAGGCCUUUCCUUGGCCUCCCUCUCCCUGUUCGUGCUCAUGUGAACAUCCACCUACGUGGAUAGACUGGGCUUUGGUUCAUUAUUGCUCUGUGAAUUCCUCGAACUUCCGCAUCUGCCCAACCUCCCCCACCCCAUUGUUUUCAUUGUGUUUCACCAAAUGGAAAUUCUAGAGUAAGCAUAUAGAAUCUUCAACUCGGAGGCACCAGUCUCUCUCACUUGAGGAAAGAAUGCGAAGGAAGGAAUGGCCUGACUUCCUCAUGUGUGCCCUGUUUCUCGGUAGGCACCAUGUGGGGGCUGCCACACAUGUGCCGAAGCUUUGGGAACGUUCCGUUUAAAUACCAAUUUCGAUGCCAAUGCCUAACAUGGAGCACAAAUAUCCAGGGGGAAGAGAUUCUGUUGGCCAACCUUAUCGCUGUGACCAGCUGAUCAGGUCUAGGAAGACAAGCUAUGGGCGGAGAAGCUAAAGAAGAGAGGGACGGGGCACACACAGAAGGGGAGAUGAAAAGAAAUGGUCUAUUUUGUCCCUUUCCAAUGUCUGAGCUGGGAGCCUCUUGCUGCCCUUUGUCUACAUUGUCUUCACAAAAACGGACUUCCUUUUUCCUGCCGUUGUGGAUAUGGUAUUGGUUGACAAGUCAGGAAUUGCCCUCUUUGACCUCUGCUGACAUAACAGCUGUGGAGUCACCAGGCUCACCCCUGUGAAAGGCUCUCACCUCACAUGGCUUUGGGGCUCAGAGCAAAUCCCCAGGUACCACUUCUUCAAACUGCCUCUUUAGCCUGCACUAUCCAUGCUGGAGCUCUCUGCAUCUCCAAAUACUUCUCAUUAUCAAGGAAUAAGACGAAAAUGUGUGGCAGCAUCACCUGUGGGCCCUGGCUGCACAGAGGGGCCCUACUGCACUUGAAGUCUUCCUGCAGAGCUCGGCAGGGGCCAGCCUUGGGUGUUUCUCAAGUAAAGAGCUGAGAGGCAGAAGAUAUCCUGGACCUCCACCUUUGCAGAAGAACCGAGUGUCAGAAACCGGAGAAACAGAAAAGUGAACUUUUGACUCAUGGAAUCACUAAGCUGAUGCCCUUCAACGUGGAACUAAAUUUUAUACCAAAUAUUGUCUAUUAUGUUUAUAUAUGCAGACUACCAUGUUUAUAUAUGUAGACUGUGUGAUAUACUGAAUAUCAAAUUCUUCAUCAAUCUUUAGAAACAAAACAGUAGCAAUAUUUGUCUUAAUCAUUUAAAAUGUUGGAAUAUAAUCAUUACUAAAUCAUAUCCCUAAAUGCGUAAAGAAAAAUGACACCAUAAGCCCUGGUUGCAAAGGUGGCUCCCAAAGGGUAAAUAUCAAUCAUUGUGGGCUGAAUGCAGAAAGAACAAAUCCAUUUAAGUCUUCAGUUGCUACUUGGUAUUAAGUGAAAAGGACCUUAAGGUUUUUAUUUUAAAUGUACUGAUAGCUUACUGGAAAACAGGCACAUUAGUAAGUAUUACUGCGCUUGUUGGAUAGAAAGAAAUGCAUGUGCUUUCACAGUGCAAAGGCCAAUAGUGAAGCAAAAUCACAGAGCAAAGCAGGCUUAAAGAUUUCAAAAUGAAUUCAGAGGACCCAAAUGACUGGUUUAUUUACAUACACUUCCCAUGUAAACACAAGAAUGAAAACUCAUUUGAUCAUCAAACAACUAGCCCAUGAGAGGUAUCUCAAUGUGAUCUGAUGGAAAGAAGAUGGACUUCCAAGCCCAAGAAACAGCCCUUUGUUUUAGUCCAACUCUAUCAUUUUCUAGCUGUUUGGCUUCUGGAGCCUCAGUUUCCUCGUUUGAGACACAGUGGUGCAGGGUUAAAUCGGAGAAGUAAAAAAAAAAAUCUGGAGUACACGGAGUCAAUGUAAAUUCUCUCCCACUCCCCUUUCAAAAAUAUAGCUAGAUUUCAAGAAACAGUCAUAAAAAUAGCCGGAAAGAAACCCCAAAUCCUUUAGUCCUCUUUACUUUUCUUUUUUCUUAUUUCGCUUCCCAUUGUUUGUGAUUAUUUGUUCAAUUUCUGGCUGUCUUUAUGUGUUUACAUUGCUUAUCGUUCAUUUACUUCUGCGUUGGUGGAAAGUUGAUUAUUCAAAGCAUCUCUGAUGGCUACUGCUUGAAUGUCCUUACUGCAGGGGCUCCAGUCUUUUGGGGGCUGCAUCUGCACUGCAGAGGGCUGGCUCGGACAUCUGUGGAUUUCAGUCAACAGAGGAGAGAUUGGAAGGAGCAUGUUUCUUUCAGAGUAGAUAGUGGAUUCACUGAAUCCCCCCGCCACUAGUAAAUCUCUUCUAGUAAGCCAUUUGCAUCCUUUUUUGUUGGUUUUUAAUCCUUGCGGAGUUCUCAGCGAUGCUACGAGCAAUGUGCUUGCACUUAAGGUGAUGGACUGUAAAUGCCUGAAAAAGGAAGAAGCAGUUGUCAAAGCAAAUUAAUUAUUAAUGUUUAUAGUUUUCCUGUCUUAAGGGUUUUCAGAAUCUCAGUUGUUCAGUGUUUGAAGCUGUAAUGUCUCCAACUGUAAUUACUCAGUGAAUGGGAGGCAGUGUGAUUGUCACCCACAAGCAUCCCCACCAGGAAUGGAUGAGUCGUGACCCUUUGGAGAGGCAAGUGGAGCUUUUACCUUGAGAGCCAUUCGUCCUGCCAGGGUCAGGCAGUGGGAGGAGGCAGGAAAAGGGCUUGUUGCUCUGAAAAUAAGACCAUCUCCCAAACCACCCUACACCCUACUUCUUCCAGGUGGGAAAGACCCACAGGGUUUCAGGAGAGUCCACUGGGAAUGACUUCCUUGAAAUGGAGGUUCAGUCCUUUCAAGUUCUGAGCUGUGAGUGGGGGUGGCUAUGGGAGGAAAUCACUUUGCACAGGGUUUGAUGCGACACUUCUGGGAAGCUUAUGAAUUCCGUAGGAGUGGGCAUGAAGUUGUAAGCACGAAGGACCUGUAAUACUUCAGAGGAGAUGAAGGAAGGAGUCUGGCCAUGUUGGAGCCAUAGAGGGAAUCUGGGGUUUAUAUAAUGAAUAUUUCUGGGUUUUUGUUUUUAUCUGCUUUUGUUUGAUUUUGCUUUUACUUUGGGAGCUAAGUAUUUUUUUUAUCUUGACAGAUAUGUUUUUUCCCCCUUAGAGUAAUAUAUAUUCAUGGAUUAAAACUAAAGACAAAAAAAAUCUCUGCAGAUAAACAGAAAUGCCCACCAUGGCUUUGACCCCAGUACCUGGAGAUAAACAUGGCUGCCCCAUUUCCUCUCUCUAUUCAUAUAGCUGAAGAUAUUAACAUACAUUGCAAUCAACAUUACUGUUUGCUUUUUGCGUUGAACAAUAUAAACUCAGAAUUCGUUCAGAGACUUCAUGUGCUCCAGCAUGUAAUUUUCAGGGGCUCUAGAGUAGUCUACAGUGCAAAUAUCAAUAAUGUGCUUAAUUAGGCCACCACUGCUGGACUUUCAGGCUUACUCCAACUUUUCUCUAUUAUAAACAGCAUGUAAAUGGACAUAUUUAAAGCCUUGUGAACAUUAAUCUCCAUUCACAUCUUUCAGUAAAAUUCUGUGAUAAAGAAGAACUACUGAGUUUUUAAUAUGGCUACUUUUAUUGUUUUCCUGUGUGUUGCCAAAUCACUCUCCUGAAUGUUAGAAAAUCAGGUUUCAUUCCUUGUUUACAUAACGUGUUCUUUCUAAAUAAACAUUUGCAGUUGAUUUUCAGUCAACAAAUUGCUUUUAUUACUUUAAUGUCUAUGAAAUAAGACCAUUCCAGUAUCCUUACCUUACAGAAAUGACAGCAACAACAGCAAAUAUGAGUAAAGAAAAAAAAUUUUUUAAAAGAUGAAAAGACCACACCCUGGGCUAUAUAAUAUGAAGGGAAGUCGUGCAGACCCAGGGAUCUAAUCACCACUAUGAUAGCCAAGACUCACACUUACCUAAAAAAAGUCUUUUUCUCGUCUUGAAAUCUUACCACUCUUUUACUUUUCUGUUGCCCUUCAUUAUAUUCUGGGGGUACAGGUUUAAGUUAGUUGUAUACUCUGGUAACUAGAUCUCAAGUUCCUGAGUGACAUGCCACUGAUGUUUUCACCUCUAUUUUGUCUAAAUACGUAGCAGAAUGCUUGUACAUUGAAGGUGCUAAAAUAUCUGUUGAAUGGAAAAAUGCUUUAUUGUUUUGAUUCAGACUAUUCCUCAAAAUGUUAAUAUCAGCAUUGGCUGAAGACGUGUGCACAGAGGUUAAUAUCUUUGAUUAUUCCUGGAGUGGAUGUAAACACUUGGUGAGCAGGCGAUGCAAACCAUUUGCACAAAACCAUUUCUGGCCAAAGUUUCAUGUAUAUUAGCCCAUCAAAGAAAACACCAGGCCUUUUUAUACAGAGGCACAAUUAGUCUCAACUCAGGUUAGGUGUUGAGGAAGUAGGAGCAAGUUAUUCUUUACUCGGCUGAGUUUUAGGUUAAUUUGCCAUUUGACUAUAUUUAGAGAAGUUCCUUCAGUGCCUUCCUCUUUGGAGUCUAUUUAGGAUAUGUGGAGAAUUGUGACAAAUAUUUCUUAUUUGUCCUGUUUGGUUGUCAACAUGCAAAUGCAAAGUUUGUUUCUUUUCUAAUGGUUAUAAAUACUUGAGAAGAAAUACGUGAAAAGAAUAAAUAAAGUGCAGUCUCCUGCUUGCUUCCUCAAAUUAGAAUGUUUGCCUCUAUGAACUGAGUGACAUUAAUGAGAAAACCCUGGGAAAAUAUCAAUAUUUCUUAAUUAACAUCUUCUGGGUGGGCUUUCUUAAGAAUGCUAUCUCUGAUCAUUUGUUAUGAAAAAAUAUGGCAAUCUGUGCAGAAUGGAGUUGAUUUUCGACAAUUGAAUGCAUAAAAUAUACUUUAAAUCAGAUCUGUUGUAGAUACAGCCCUUAUUUAAGGAAAUUGUCAGAAUGUACUUUAAAACUUGUGUGGUUAAGUGAUUUUUGUGAUUUUUUUUUUUAACCACGUUGAAAUUUUGACAAGCUUUUGGCCUAUUCCCACGACUCCCCAUCUGGGUCCUCAAAAUGAUUCCUUACUUCCUCGAACAUUGGCUCUCAAACACCAUUCCCUUACACACAGAGCCGUGGGCUGAGAGAGAGAAAAAAGCACACUUUGUUUUCUGCUGUCAAAAGCACUGCGAAAGCAGGCUUUCAAUCUCCCUGCGAGUGUAAUUAAAGACUCCGAUAACCUGAAAAUACAUUUGCCCACAUUCUUUGCAUAUGUUUCUUUGAGCUCUUUUUAUGUGGCCUGUUCAGGAUCAUGGUGUAUUCUAGUUAAUAAAGCGUUCUGGUUUACUGCAGCUUUUAUUAAA